rnacentral:rRNA from 1 species
UGGGGAAUCUUCCGCAAUGGACGAAAGUCUGACGGAGCAACGCCGCGUGAGUGAAGACGGCCUUCGGGUUGUAAAGCUCUGUGAUCCGGGACGAAAGAGCCUGAGGUAAAUAGCCUAAGGAAGUGACGGUACCGGAAAAGCAAGCCACGGCUAACUACGUGCCAGCAGCCGCGGUAAUACGUAGGUGGCAAGCGUUGUCCGGAAUUAUUGGGCGUAAAGCGCGCGCAGGCGGCUUCCUAAGUCCAUCUUAAAAGUGCGGGGCUUAACCCCGUGAUGGGAUGGAAACUGGGAAGCUGGAGUAUCGGAGAGGAAAGUGGAAUUCCUAGUGUAGCGGUGAAAUGCGUAGAGAUUAGGAAGAACACCGGUGGCGAAGGCGACUUUCUGGACGAAAACUGACGCUGAGGCGCGAAAGCGUGGGGAGCGAACAGG